GGACUGAUAAAUGAAUUCACUUUUUGCGGUGAAAAUCCAAGACGAUAACCAGGGUUCCACAGAACCCUUAACGAUAUCUAGUAUUGCACCUGAAUGUAUCUGAAGAUUUAUUAUUCAAUUUACAUUUUCAUUUUCGAAAUUUGGACACACAAUUUUUUGGUCGCAUGCUUUACCCCACGGCUCUUAUUAAAAACAUUUUUAAGUUACUGUUUUUGAAACUUUAAUUAAAUUCAAUAACCAUUAUAUUUCAAAUU
rnacentral:lncRNA from 1 species